AGUGAACGCUGGCGGUAGGCCUAACACAUGCAAGUCGAACGGCAGCACAGUAAGAGCUUGCUCUUACGGGUGGCGAGUGGCGGACGGGUGAGGAAUACAUCGGAAUCUACUUUUUCGUGGGGGAUAACGUAGGGAAACUUACGCUAAUACCGCAUACGACCUCUGGGUGAAAGCAGGGGAUCUUCGGACCUUGCGCGAGUGAAUGAGCCGAUGUCGGAUUAGCUAGUUGGCGGGGUAAAGGCCCACCAAGGCGACGAUCCGUAGCUGGUCUGAGAGGAUGAUCAGCCACACUGGAACUGAGACACGGUCCAGACUCCUACGGGAGGCAGCAGUGGGGAAUAUUGGACAAUGGGCGCAAGCCUGAUCCAGCCAUACCGCGUGAGUGAAGAAGGCCUUCGGGUUGUAAAGCCCUUUUGUUGGGAAAGAAAAGCAGCAGGUUAAUACCCCGCUGUUCUGACGGUACCCAAAGAAUAAGCACCGGCUAACUUCGUG
rnacentral:rRNA from 1 species